UACGUAGGGGGCAAGCGUUUGUCCGGAUUUAUUGGGCGUAAAGAGCGUGUAGGCGGCCAGGUAGGUCGGUUGUGAAAACUAGAGGCUUAACCUCUAGACGUCGACCGAAACCAUCUGGCUAGAGUCCGGAAGAGGAGAGUGGAAUUCCGUGGUGUAGCGGUGAAAUGCGCAGAUAUCAGGAAGAACACCCGUGGCGAAAGCGGCUCUCUGGGACGGUACUGACGCUGAGACGCGAAAGCGUGGGGAGCGAAC
rnacentral:rRNA from 1 species